rnacentral:rRNA from 1 species
UACGUAGGGGGCAAGCGUUGUCCGGAUUUAUUGGGCGUAAAGAGCGUGUAGGCGGCCAGGUAGGUCCGCUGUGAAAACUCGAGGCUCAACCUCGAGAUGUCGGCGGAAACCCUCUGGCUAGAGUCCGGAAGAGGAGAGUGGAAUUCCUGGUGUAGCGGUGAAAUGCGCAGAUAUCAGGAGGAACACCAAUGGCGAAGGCAGCACUCUGGGACGGUACUGACGCUGAGACGCGAAAGCGUGGGGAGCAAACAGG